CCCUUAGAUGUUCUGGGCCGCACGCGUGCUACACUGAGUGGAUCAGCGGGUCAGGUUGCGCGAAAGUGUUUCCUAAUCUUUAAAUCCGCUCGUGAUGGGGAUUGACGGUUGCAAUUUUCCGUCAUGAACGAGGAAUACCUUGUAAGCGCGGGUCAUCAUCCCGCGCUGAAUACGUCCCUGCCCUUUGUACACACCGCCCGUCGCUCCUACCGAUUGAGUGGUCCGGUGAGGCUUUGGGAUCUGGGCGGAAAGAGCGUUUCGCUGUUUCUGCCCGGAAAACUCAGUCGAACCUUAUCAUCUAGAGGAAGGAGAAGUCGUAACA
rnacentral:rRNA from 1 species